rnacentral:rRNA from 1 species
AUUGAACGCUGGCGACAGGCCUAACACAUGCAAGUCGAACGAGCGGCGGACGGGUGAGUAAUGUAUGGGAAACUGCCCGAUGGAGGGGGAUAACUACUGGAAACGGUCGCUAAUACCGCAUACCAUCGGAUGUGCCCAUAUGGGAUUAGCUAGUAGGUGGGGUAACGGCUCACCUAGGCGACGAUCCCUAGCUGGUCUGAGAGGAUGAGCAGCCACACUGGAACUGAGACACUGUCCAGACUCCUACGGGAGGCAGCAGUGGGGAAUAUUGCACAAUGGGCGCAAGCCUGAUACAGCCAUGCCGCGUGUAUGAAGAAGGCCUUAGGGUUGUAAAGUACUUUCAGCGGGGAGGCGUUACUCGCAGAAGAAGCACCGGCUAACUCCGUGCCAGCAGCCGCGGUAAUUC